rnacentral:rRNA from 1 species
UACGUAGGGCGCAAGCGUUGUCCGGAAUUAUUGGGCGUAAAGAGCUCGUAGGCGGCCAGUUGCGUCCGCUGUGAAAUCCCAGGGCUUAACCCUGGGCGUGCAGUGGAUACGGGCUGGCUGGAGGCAGGCAGGGGAGAACGGAAUUCCCGGUGUAGCGGUGAAAUGCGCAGAUAUCGGGAGGAACACCGGUGGCGAAGGCGGUUCUCUAGUACGGUACUGACGCUGAGACGCGAAAGCGUGGGGAGCGAACAGG